CCCAGACUCCUACGGGAGGCAGCAGUGAGGGAUAUUGGUCAAUGGGGGAAACCCUGAACCAGCAACGCCGCGUGAGGGAAGACGGUUUUCGGAUUGUAAACCUCUGUCCUCUGUGAAGAUAAUGACGGUAGCAGAGGAGGAAGCUCCGGCUAACUACGUGCCAGCAGCCGCGGUAAUACGUAGGGGGCGAGCGUUAUCCGGAUUUAUUGGGUUUAAAGGGUGCGCAGGCGGAAUGUCAAGUCAGCGGUAAAAUUUCGGGGCUCAACCCCGUCGUGCCGUUGAAACUGGCGUUCUCGAGUGAGCGAGAAGUAUGCGGAAUGCGUGGUGUAGCGGUGAAAUGCAUAGAUAUCUCGCAGAACUCCGAUUGCGAAGGCAGCAUACCGGCGCUCAACUGACGCUCAUGCGCGAAAGCGUGGGUAUCGAACAGGAUUAGAUACCCUAGUAACC
rnacentral:rRNA from 1 species